GCUGAAACAAGCGCUGUUUUAUCCAUUGUCGGUCGUUCGGUAAGAAAGCCUGAAUUGAGUGGUCAUAUACCAGUGCGCUGAGAUCUGUGAGGCCAUCGAUAAAGUUAUAGAGAUCAGCGAUGUCGUAAGUGAUGUUUCGGAUGGCUGGAUUAAGCUCCUUGAGCUUGCGCUCGUACAACCCACAGAGGCCGUCCAUAGCUUGACUAAUU
rnacentral:misc_RNA from 1 species